UAGGGAAUCUUCCGCAAUGGACGAAAGUCUGACGGAGCAACGCCGCGUGAGUGAAGAAGGAUUUCGGUUCGUAAAACUCUGUUGUUAGGGAAGAAAAAAUGUAUAGUAACUAUAUACAAAAGAGACGGUACCUAACCAGAAAGCCACGGCUAACUACGUGCCAGCAGCCGCGGUAAUACGUAGGUGGCAAGCGUUGUCCGGAAUUAUUGGGCGUAAAGCGCGCGCAGGUGGUUUAGAAAGUCUGAUGUGAAAGCCCACGGCUCAACCGUGAAGGGUCAUUGGAAACUAAUAAACUUGAGUGCAGGAGAGAAAAGUGGAAUUCCUAGUGUAGCGGUGAAAUGCGUAGAGAUUAGGAGGAACACCGGUGGCGAAAGCGGCUUUUUGGCAUGCAACUGACACUGAGGCGCGAAAGCGUGGGGAGCAAACAGG
rnacentral:rRNA from 1 species